ACUAUGAUAGCAAGUCACAUUCCUGGCAAUGAAGCGGUAGAAACUCCUGGUGUAUCCCCCUGUACCCCAGGGGGACACAUGUAACCAUGAAGAUAUGAGAGAAUUAAAGUGAUCUUCAGUUUCAGUUUCAAAUGCCAAAGACUUUGUUUCUCUCCGGAAGGAGUGGACAAAAUGUCAUUUCCAGUUUAGAUGAGCAUACUCCUUUCUUUGACACAGGUCACAAGGAAUUUCUUUGCUCAGUCUCAGAUUCCUCAAAUGAUAACAACCUGACUACCUCUUCUUGUAUCAUCAGGAAGGUGGAGGUCAUGCUGCUAGGACAUACCACCUACAUCUCAAGGAAAGCAUCAGUAUGACGGUCACUCAAGCAGGAACUGUCUCGACAGCGUGGAGACCAGAGAAGCGAAGCAGAGAACCAACUGGUGAUCACCCAACAUGAUUAUGACAAGUAACUAAAGAAUUUGAAGAAUAAACCUCAGCUACUUCUUACUUGGUUACCCAAGUGCUAUCUUUCCCACUCAUGGAGUGUGUGCUAUCGGGAAAAAUCCCAAGUUCCACACGGAAAAAUUGCAAGUUCAGUAUGCACUAGGACAACAGAGUCUUGUUCGAUAAUAAAAAGGAAUAAGCUAUUGAUAAUGCAACAGCAAAGAACAAGGUGAUCUUCACUUCCCAAUCCAAGGUUGCCAAAUUUCACUCCAGAAUGAGUUGGCAGAAGGAAGAAAAUGCUUUCAGAACUUUGAUGUAUAUGGAAGCAGAUUUGCCCACGUACUUUGAGGCAUGUGCAUGAUCACAGCAUUGAAUCGCUAUGACACUCUUCUGCAGGUGAGAAGGACUCAUCCAAGUGAUAAAUGCGAGUCUAAGGAAUGUGCAGCUAGUUUUCUAAGACUGAAGGCAAGAGAAGGCAAAGAAAGCAUCAGGCAAUGAUAGAAAAUUUAUUCUAAGGGAAAUUCAUAUCCUGUGUUAUUAUUCAUAUGAAUAUUAUCACCAAGUUUAUGUAUAUAUGAAAUAAUCCAUAUUCUGGGUACUUUUUCCUUCCCCUAAAUAUCUAGUCAUCUAAUGAUGAUGAUCAUGGAGCCUGUGAGGGUAUGUAUGGGA